rnacentral:rRNA from 1 species
CUCAGGACGAACGCUGGCGGCGUGCCUAAUACAUGCAAGUAGAACGCUGAAGAGAGGAGCUUGCUCUUCUUGGAUGAGUUGCGAACGGGUGAGUAACGCGUAGGUAACCUGCCUUGUAGCGGGGGAUAACUAUUGGAAACGAUAGCUAAUACCGCAUAACAAUGGAUGACACAUGUCAUUUAUUUGAAAGGGGCAAUUGCUCCACUACAAGAUGGACCUGCGUUGUAUUAGCUAGUAGGUGAGGUAAUGGCUCACCUAGGCGACGAUACAUAGCCGACCUGAGAGGGUGAUCGGCCACACUGGGACUGAGACACGGCCCAGACCCUACGGGAGGCAGCAGUAGGGAAUCUUCGGCAAUGGGGGCAACCCUGACCGAGCAACGCCGCGUGAGUGAAGAAGGUUUUCGGAUCGUAAAGCUCUGUUGUAAGUCAAGAACGGGUGUGAGAGUGGAAAGUUCACACUGUGACGGUAGCUUACCAGAAAGGGACGGCUAACUACGUGCCAGCAGCCGCGGUAAUACGUAGGUCCCGAGCGUUGUCCGGAUUUAUUGGGCGUAAAGCGAGCGCAGGCGGUUUGAUAAGUCUGAAGUUAAAGGCGUGGCUCAACCAUAGUUCGCUUUGGAAACUGUCAAACUUGAGUGCAGAAGGGGAGAGUGGAAUUCCAUGUGUAGCGGUGAAAUGCGUAGAUAUAUGGAGGAACACCGGUGGCGAAAGCGGCUCUCUGGUCUGUAACUGACGCUGAGGCUCGAAAGCGUGGGGAGCGAACAGGAUUAGAUACCCUGGUAGUCCACGCCGUAAACGAUGAGUGCUAGGUGUUGGAUCCUUUCCGGGAUUCAGUGCCGCAGCUAACGCAUUAAGCACUCCGCCUGGGGAGUACGACCGCAAGGUUGAAACUCAAAGGAAUUGACGGGGGCCCGCACAAGCGGUGGAGCAUGUGGUUUAAUUCGAAGCAACGCGAAGAACCUUACCAGGUCUUGACAUCCCGAUGCUAUUUCUAGAGAUAGAAAGUUACUUCGGUACAUCGGUGACAGGUGGUGCAUGGUUGUCGUCAGCUCGUGUCGUGAGAUGUUGGGUUAAGUCCCGCAACGAGCGCAACCCCUAUUGUUAGUUGCCAUCAUUCAGUUGGGCACUCUAGCGAGACUGCCGGUAAUAAACCGGAGGAAGGUGGGGAUGACGUCAAAUCAUCAUGCCCCUUAUGACCUGGGCUACACACGUGCUACAAUGGUUGGUACAACGAGUUGCGAGUCGGUGACGGCGAGCUAAUCUCUUAAAGCCAAUCUCAGUUCGGAUUGUAGGCUGCAACUCGCCUCAUGAAGUCGGAAUCGCUAGUAAUCGCGGAUCAGCACGCCGCGGUGAAUACGUUCCCGGGCCUUGUACACACCGCCCGUCACACCACGAGAGUUUGUAAACCCGAAGUCGGUGAGGUAACCUUUUGGAGCCAGCCG